AGCGAACGCUGGCGGCAGGCUUAACACAUGCAAGUCGAGCGGCCGUAGCAAUACGGCAGCGGCAGACGGGAGAGUAACACGUGGGAACGUACCCUUCAGUUCGGAACAACCAAGGGAAACUUUGGCUAAUACCGAAUACGUCCGUAAGGAGAAAGAUUUAUCGCUGAAGGAUCGGCCCGCGUCUGAUUAGCUAGUUGGGGAGGUAACGGCUCACCAAGGCGACGAUCAGUAGCUGGUCUGAGAGGAUGAUCAGCCUCACUGGGACUGGGACACGGCCCAGAUUCCUACGAGAGGCAGCAGUGGGGAAUAUUGGACACGGGGCGCAAGCCUGAUCCAGCCCUGCCGCGUGGAUGAUGAAGGCCCUAAGGUUGUAAAGUCCUUUUAACGGGGAAGAUAAUGACGGUACCCGUAGAAUAAGCCCCGGCUAACUUCGUGCCAGCAGCCGCAGUAAAAC
rnacentral:rRNA from 1 species